rnacentral:lncRNA from 1 species
AUAAAGCACAAAAAAAAAUACAGUAUGCUUUGCCUUCGCACUGUGAAUUUAUACCUCAUUUUGGAAUAUCGAUAUACGAACCAACAGCUGGGUUAUUAACUUAUUAACACCAAUUUUGGAAAGUGGUACCAACUGGCUUAAUAUGAUUUGGUUUUUGUCGUCUUGAUAAUUCGUUAGAUUAGCCAAAAGAUAAUACGUAAACACUCAUACAAGACAUAAAGCACAAAAAAAAACACAGUAUCCUUUGCCUCCAAAAGAUAAUGUGUGUGAUUUUUAAUUUGAUUACUUAUUGUAAUUUACUUGGAUAUUCAACUAAGUACUAUUAAAUAUUUUUCUUUGACAUGACUUCUGUGAAAUUUGUUAAUAAUUAUUG